rnacentral:sRNA from 1 species
CUUGCUGUCGUCAGCUCGUGUCGUGAGAUGUUGGGUUAAGUCCCGCAACGAGCGCAACCCCUACCCUUAAUUGCCAUCGGGUUAUGCCGGGCACUUUAGGGGGACUGCCGGUGACAAGCCGGAGGAGGGUGGGGAUGACGUCAAGUCCUCAUGGCCUUUAUGACCAGGGCUACACACGUGUUACAAUGGGAGUUACAGAGGGAAGCUAAGCCGCGAGGCCAUGCCAAUCCCAGAAAAACUUUCUCAGUUCGGAUCGCAGUCUGCAACUCGACUGCGUGAAGCUGGAAUCGCUAGUAAUCGCGGAUCAGCACGCCGCGGUGAAUACGUUCCCGGGCCUUGUACACACCGCCCGUCACACCAUGGGAGCCGACAAGGGCAGAAGUCGCCGAGCUAACCUUCGGGAAGCAGGCGCCCAAGCUGUUGUUGACGACUGGGGUGAAGUCGUAACAAGGUAGCCGUAGGAGAACCUGCGGCUGGAUCACCUCCUUUCUAAGGACGCCGGAGAUGCUUUAUGCUUAUCUCCGGAUAGUCAAAGUCGAAACAGACUCUCUUCUCUUCUCUCCCUUUUCUCCUGUAAAUACUAGGUUAUGAAUUUAGAGCAACGAAGAAAUUGAAUUCGUUACUGUGGACUCCUAAUUUCAAGAGGGGCCUGUAGCUCAGCUUGGUUAGAGCGCAUCCCUGAUAAGGAUGAGGCCGGUGGUUCAAGUCCACCCAGGCCCACCAGCUCAUUUUUGAUUUAGAUAUGGAUUUGGAUUUAGCGGCUAUGAUGGUGGCAAAUCUGAGGUCUGGUAAUCCAAAUCAGAUAUUAAAGAUCGGGGGAUUAGCUCAGCUGGUAGAGCGCCUGCUUUGCAAGCAGGAGGUCAGCGGUUCGACCCCGCUAUCCUCCACCAAAUUAAUGAACAGUAAAAAAAGGUGGUGCAGCUUAAGCAGAAGAUAAGCUUCAGCAAUUAUUUAAUAAUUUCUGAAUUUUAUUUUUUAAUAUCUUAGACAAUUAAAUCGGAGGUUUUGGAGACACAAGAUCAAAUGUGAGGGUCUCCAAGGGUUGACGAUCUUGACUGUUAAAGUCAGGUAGUAAGGGCGCAGGGCGGAUGCCUUGGCUCUGGGAAGCGAAGAAGGACGUGGCCAGCUGCGAUAAGCCUCGGGGAAGAGCAAACAUCUUUUGAUCCGGGGAUUUCCGAAUGGGGAAACCCGG